UAAAACAUUCUACAGUUAUAGUAAAGGCGAUCGAAACAUCUUUUGGAGUAAUAACUCAAGUACCGCAAGGGAACAGUGAAAUAAAAAUGAAACAAAUAUUAAGCACGUAACAGUAGAGACACCCCCUCGUACCUUUUGCAUCAUGAUUUAACUAGUCUACCCAAGCAAAAAGCACUAAAGUUUGCCUUCCCGAAAUUAAGCGAGCUACUUCAAGGCAGUUUCAAGAACUAACCCGUCUCUGUUGCAAAAGAGUGGGGAGACCUUCAAGUAGGGGUGAUAGACCUAACGAGCUUAAUGAUAGCUGGUUACUUAAAAAAAGGAUCUUAGUCCACCCCAACUUUUUUAUAAUAUUCCUAAAUAGAAACUAAAAUUUGGAGAAAUUCAAAUAAGGUACAGCCUAUUUGAAUCAGGAUACAACCUACACAAACGGGUAAUUAAUCUUCUAUGCAAUAAAGUAGGCCUAAAAGCAGCCACCUUCAAAAAGCGUCAAAGCUUACCUGCAAACUAACUUAAUACCACAAACUUUAAAAACCCUUUAAUCAUUAUUAAGUAAUUUUAUACGAAUUAUAGAAACUUAUUAUGUUAAAACUAGUAACAAGAAAUCGAAAACUUCUCUAUAAUGUAAGUGUAAGUCAGAUUGGACGAAACCACUGACUCUUAACAUCCUGAAACUAAAGUAAUAACACAUCAAGAAAAUCUUACCCCCACACAAUGUUAACCUAACACGAAGAAGAUUUUAGAGA
rnacentral:rRNA from 1 species